GAUGAACGCUAGCUACAGGCUUAACACAUGCAAGUCGAGGGGAAACGACAUCGAAAGCUUGCUUUUGAUGGGCGUCGACCGGCGCACGGGUGAGUAACGCGUAUCCAACCUGCCCAUCACUUGGGAAUAACCUUGCGAAAGUAAGACUAAUACCCAAUGACAUCCCACGAAGACAUCUGAAUGGGAUUAAAGAUUUAUCUGUGAUGGAUGGGGAUGCGUCUGAUUAGCUUGUUGGCGGGGUAACGGCCCACCAAGGCAACGAUCAGUAGGGGUUCUGAGAGGAAGGUCCCCCACAUUGGAACUGAGACACGGUCCAAACUCCUACGGGAGGCAGCAGUGAGGAAUAGUGGUCAAUGGGCGAGAGCCUGAACCAGCCAAGUAGCGUGCAGGAUGACGGCCCUAUGGGUUGUAAACUGCUUUUAUAAGGGAAUAAAGUGGGUCUCGUGAGACUUUUUGCAUGUACCUUAUGAAUAAGGACCGGCUAAUUCCGUG
rnacentral:rRNA from 1 species